UACGUAGGUGGCAAGCGUUGUCCGGAAUUAUUGGGCGUAAAGCGCGCGCAGGCGGUCCUUUAAGUCUGCUGUGAAAGCCCACGGCUCAACCGUGGAAGGGCAUUGGAAACUGGAGGACUUGAGUACAGAAGAGGAAAGCGGAAUUCCACGUGUAGCGGUGAAAUGCGUAGAGAUGUGGAGGAACACCAGUGGCGAAGGCGGCUUUCUGGUCUGUAACUGACGCUGAGGCGCGAAAGCGUGGGGAGCAAACAGG
rnacentral:rRNA from 1 species